UCAUUAAAGCCCCACAAAGCAGAGAUUAAACCUCGUACCUUUUGCAUCAUGAUUUAGCUAGACCUUCUGAGCAAAGAGUACUUUAGUUCAAAACCCCGAAACUACGUGAGCUACCCCGAAACAGCCUAUCAAUUAGGGCCAACCCGUCUCUGUGGCAAAAGAGUGGGAAGAUUUCCGGGUAGAGGUGAUAAACCUACCGAACCUAGUUAUAGCUGGUUGCCUAAGAAAUGAAUAGAAGUUCAGCCUCACACUCCUUAACUCAAAAACAAAUUUAAAAUACACGAGACAAAGAAACAUGUGAGAGUUAGUCAAAGGGGGUACAGCCCCUUUGAAAUAGGACACAGCCUCACCAGGAGGUUAAAGAUUAUAUUAAAUAAGAUAAGACCGCUCUAGUGGGCCUAAAAGCAGCCAUCAAAACAGAAAGCGUUAAAGCUCUGGCGGAAUAAAAAUCCAUUAUCCAAAUAUGUUAUCUAAAACCCCUAACUUUAUUAGGCCAUUCCAUGCUUACAUGGAAGAAAUACUGCUAAAAUGAGUAAUAAGAAAGAACCCCUUUCUCCUAGCCUACGUGUAUACUAGAUCGGACUAACCACUAGUAAUUACCGAACCCAACCAAAGAGGGCAAUGUGAACACCUAAAAUACCAAGAAAACUUCACAUAGAACAAUCGUUAAACCUACACCGGAGGGCAUUCAUAGGAAAGACUAAAAGAAAAGGAAGGAACUCGGCAAACACUUAUAAGCCUCGCCUGUUUACCAAAAACAUCGCCUCCUGCAAAAAUCAAUGUAUAGGAGGUCUUGCCUGCCCAGUGACAAGUUAAACGGCCGCGGUAUUUUGACCGUGCGAAGGUAGCGCAAUCACUUGUCUUUAAUGAGACCUGUAUGAAUGUGAACGAGGGCUACUGUCUCCCUUCAGUCAUGAAAUGAUCUGCCGUGCAGACCACAAACUAUAUAAUAAUU
rnacentral:rRNA from 1 species